GGGGUUGUAGUAUAAUGGGAUUACCCCGCACUUGCAAUGCGGUGAUGAGAGUUCGAUUCUCUCCUUCUCCACCA
rnacentral:tRNA from 1 species